GUAAGGUGGCCCGUGGUCCCCGGGGGCUGGGGAAGGGCCCAGGGGCAAGAGGUGCCCCUUCUCCUUGCCUCCUCCCUCUCCUCCAUUAGGAGCCCACGUGUGGGCGGAGUCCCCUGCAUCUGGCCGUGGAGGCCGAGGCGGCCGAGGUCCUGGAGCUGCUCCUGGUGGGUGGCGCAGACCCCAAGGCCCGCAUGUAUGGAGGCCGGACCCCACUGGGUAGCGCCACGCUUCGGGCAGACCCCCUCCUCGCCCGCCUCCUGCGCGCUCACGGGGCCCCAGAGCCUGAGUCAGGAGACGAGGAAGACUCCAGCCCCAGGGGCAGCGACAGCGACGAAGGGGAUGAGUAUGAUGACAUCGUGGUCCACGCAAGCAGAAGCUGAAACGGGGGCACCCCUCCCUCUCCUGCGUCCCUUCUUUUAGCCGAGUUCUUUCUUUUGUAAUGUAGAAAAGCUUUAAUUUCAAUAAAACCCUGGUUCUUCUGA